rnacentral:rRNA from 1 species
GAAGGUGUGCUGUGAGGCAUGCUGGAGGUAUCAGAAGUGCGAAUGCUGACAUAAGUAACGAUAAAGCGGGUGAAAAGCCCGCUCGCCGGAAGACCAAGGGUUCCUGUCCAACGUUAAUCGGGGCAGGGUGAGUCGACCCCUAAGGCGAGGCCGAAAGGCGUAGUCGAUGGGAAACAGGUUAAUAUUCCUGUACUUGGUGUUACUGCGAAGGGGGGACGGAGAAGGCUAUGUUGGCCGGGCGACGGUUGUCCCGGUUUAAGCGUGUAGGCUGGUUUUCCAGGCAAAUCCGGAAAAUCAAGGCUGAGGCGUGAUGACGAGGCACUACGGUGCUGAAGCAACAAAUGCCCUGCUUCCAGGAAAAGCCUCUAAGCAUCAGGUAACAUCAAAUCGUACCCCAAACCGACACAGGUGGUCAGGUAGAGAAUACCAAGGCGCUUGAGAGAACUCGGGUGAAGGAACUAGGCAAAAUGGUGCCGUAACUUCGGGAGAAGGCACGCUGAUAUGUAGGUGAAGUCCCUCGCGGAUGGAGCUGAAAUCAGUCGAAGAUACCAGCUGGCUGCAACUGUUUAUUAAAAACACAGCACUGUGCAAACACGAAAGUGGACGUAUACGGUGUGACGCCUGCCCGGUGCCGGAAGGUUAAUUGAUGGGGUUAGCGCAAGCGAAGCUCUUGAUCGAAGCCCCGGUAAACGGCGGCCGUAACUAUAACGGUCCUAAGGUAGCGAAAUUCCUUGUCGGGUAAGUUCCGACCUGCACGAAUGGCGUAAUGAUGGCCAGGCUGUCUCCACCCGAGACUCAGUGAAAUUGAACUCGCUGUGAAGAUGCAGUGUACCCGCGGCAAGACGGAAAGACCCCGUGAACCUUUACUAUAGCUUGACACUGAACAUUGAGCCUUGAUGUGUAGGAUAGGUGGGAGGCUUGGAAGUGUGGACGCCAGUCUGCAUGGAGCCGACCUUGAAAUACCACCCUUUAAUGUUUGAUGUUCUAACGUUGACCCGUAAUCCGGGUUGCGGACAGUGUCUGGUGGGUAGUUUGACUGGGGCGGUCUCCUCCUAAAGAGUAACGGAGGAGCACGAAGGUUGGCUAAUCCUGGUCGGACAUCAGGAGGUUAGUGCAAUGGCAUAAGCCAGCUUGACUGCGAGCGUGACGGCGCGAGCAGGUGCGAAAGCAGGUCAUAGUGAUCCGGUGGUUCUGAAUGGAAGGGCCAUCGCUCAACGGAUAAAAGGUACUCCGGGGAUAACAGGCUGAUACCGCCCAAGAGUUCAUAUCGACGGCGGUGUUUGGCACCUCGAUGUCGGCUCAUCACAUCCUGGGGCUGAAGUAGGUCCCAAGGGUAUGGCUGUUCGCCAUUUAAAGUGGUACGCGAGCUGGGUUUAGAACGUCGUGAGACAGUUCGGUCCCUAUCUGCCGUGGGCGCUGGAGAACUGAGGGGGGCUGCUCCUAGUACGAGAGGACCGGAGUGGACGCAUCACUGGUGUUCGGGUUGUCAUGCCAAUGGCACUGCCCGGUAGCUAAAUGCGGAAGAGAUAAGUGCUGAAAGCAUCUAAGCACGAAACUUGCCCCGAGAUGAGUUCUCCCUGACUCCUUGAGAGUCCUGAAGGAACGUUGAAGACGACGACGUUGAUAGGCCGGGUGUGUAAGCGCAGCGAUGCGUUGAGCUAACCGGUACUAAUGAACCGUGAGGCUUAACCUUACAACGCCGAAG